UAUAAACCAUUGCCCUGGAGUGAUCCAUCCUUUUCAACGCUGCUGUUCCCUGCCUGCUGAUCACUUGCUCUGCUCCCUUGCACCCAUCCAGGCUCUGACAUUGCUCUGCUCCAUCCCAGCCAAGCACGAUUCUACUCCUCUUGCACUUAGUUUUACUUUCAAAACCUUGUGCAGCUAAUAACCACUCUGAAUGUUGUCCUUUCUCAGGCUCUUUGGAGAUGAUGGCAUUGCUAUUUCCACCUUCCUGUCCCUCUUCCCCUUGUGGCUUGUUCCAGCAACCUUGUGAUAAAAUUGUAAGGGACAAUGAGAAGAGAAAAUAAAACAAAGAAAAAGAAGGAACUUGAAUUUAUAGAGUGCAUUCAAACCUGCCUGCAUCUCUUUCUCUUCCAUCUGCAACACCUCCAUUCCCACUCUCUCUUUGUGUUUCCCAGUCAUCAAACAGUUCCACAGCUAGGAUUAACUGAGACCCAAAACUGGGCUUUACAGAAGCAGAUGGAUGUAGGGAACAAAGAGACGAAGGACACUUUAAMAUUUAAUUCUGUCUAGUUCUCUUGAUAUUGCAACCUCUGGAUUUGUAAAACUGUGAGAUUUGUUUUGAUUAUUAAAUGUUUUUG